CUCCAAGAGAGGGAGCUGAGUGGUUGCUGGGAGUGAGGGAAGGGGGAGGGUGGCCACAAGGGAGAGCCCAGGGGACAUUUAGGGGAUGAUGGAGAAAAUGUUUUGUUUCCUAAUUGAACGUGGCAGUGGUUACAUGAAUUUAUACAUGUUUUAAAAUUCACAGAAAUGUGCUCCCAAAAAAGGUCCAUUUUACUGUAUGUUAAUUAAAAAAAAAAAAGAGGUGGAAUCAGCCAGCCAAGUGCCCAGAAGACAGAGGGCUAACCUAGGGUGCGUCCUGGACUUCCCGGAGCGGCCGCUACCUGUGACCACACUCCUCCCAGGUGUUCAUCAGGAGCCACACACCCUUCCUGACAAGCAGGUUCUCACCUGGGUCCCUGGAGGAUGCGAGGCCACCAGACCAGUCAUCUCAACCUGUCACCAGCUGACCUUAAAGGAUGGCCCCCGCCUACAGAUGGGCCAUCCCUCUCCGGCAGUUUACUCGCCAAUAGCUACCUUCUUGCACAAGAAUUCUUUCUCUUGUGUAUAAGGAAAAUAAAAAACAAUCAAGGAUCCAGGAGACGGAGAGCAGCUAGAAAUGAUGAAGGGCCUCUGCUGGCUCGUCGGUCACUUUGCCACGGGUGAGUCAUCUGCUCUGAGUCAUGCCUGGCUGAGACGGAAAGGCCAGGAGGAUGCCUCCAAACACACCUGGCUUACGAAAGGACAUCACCAGGGACACGGUCGGUGCCCAGGCACACGCUUUCCUAAGUAGACUAAAAAUUAAAAGAAAAAAAUCCCCU
rnacentral:lncRNA from 1 species